CUAGAGCAUCACGUACAUAAGCUAGACAACAUAGUUAAACAAAAGAUGCUCUCUGAACAUUGUACUGAAACUAAACCUGCUCCCUAAGCAUAUCAUGGUUUAACAAAAGCUGCUCCCUAUACAUCAUAGUCCAACAGUAGCUUCUCCCUAAACAUCAUAGUUUAACAAAAGCUGCAGGUCCCUAUACAAAAGCUGCUCCCUAUACAAUAGCUGCUCCUUAAACCCUAACCUACAGCCAAGUACUGAAGAACAAGCUCAUAUAGUUGUUGAUCACACUCAAGCCUAUCCGGAAGGAUACCUAGAGCUUGCAGCCUCUCUUUGUUCAUAUGAGGUAUCUUAUAUCUAUUUCCUCCACCUGCUUUCAUCACUUCAAUCAAGCAGCUCUGCAGAGUCAGGUUCCUAGAGACCCUGUUGAAUGUAAGGGACUGCAGAGAAGCGAAGAAGCCUAAAUCAAGACAGUUCAUAUCAGGGAUUUCGUCAUUGUCAUCUGAGUCUGUUAAUUCUUCUUCAUCGAACACAAUGUCAACAUUGCCAUACACCCCAUAAUCAUUCAGAUUCUCUUGUUCUUCAUCAAGAUGAAUGUUUAGAUCAAAGGGGUAGAACAGAUGCUGGGGAGGAUCAGCAGGGAGGACUUCAUUGAGGUCAGUGUGUUUCAACGGCUGGAGAUGGGGGACUGAGACUGGUUUAUAUAGGCAAGAGGUGGACGCAGAGCGGAGCAGCUGCAAGUUAAAUUUUUUGGCGGGCGUCAAAUUCUCUUUGCCGCUUGUCAAAUUCUAGUUGCGGCUUGUAAUUUUCUGUAUGACGUUGUCCUUUUGUUUGAGUAGUUGGCGCCUGUCUAAAUGUCCAA